rnacentral:rRNA from 1 species
UACGGAGGGAGCUAGCGUUGUUCGGAAUUACUGGGCGUAAAGCGCACGUAGGCGGCUUUGUAAGUUAGGGGUGAAAGCCUGGAGCUCAACUUCGGAAUUGCCCUUAAGACUGCAUCGCUUGAAUCCAGGAGAGGUGAGUGGAAUUCCGAGUGUAGAGGUGAAAUUCGUAGAUAUUCGGAAGAACACCAGUGGCGAAGGCGGCUCACUGGACUGGUAUUGACGCUGAGGUGCGAAAGCGUGGGGGGCAAACAGG